rnacentral:ncRNA from 1 species
GGGGGAUAGCUUAGGUCCUCCGCUCUUGGCGUGUUAAUAGCGUUGCUUUUGGCCGAGCAUCGUGGUUAGUGAAUC